GUGAUUGCCAAGAAAUCCUCCUUCACAAGACAGAUGUCUUGGCAUUUCUUCGGUUCUAGUACAUUUUAUACUGACACAAAAAGUGCUUAUCAGUUUAAGUGAUAAAAGUAAAGUCUUGCGUUAAAAUUUAAAAUCACACUGUCUCCCUCCUGGAUAUGUGGCCUUUCAAAGAAUUUUGUUUUAUUUCUGAGGUCACUUAUUUUGUGCCCCCAGCCCGCCCCUGCCAGAUGCUAGAGAGGGAUAAAGUGACCCCAUCAUUCGUGUGGCCGCAAGCUGUUUGGCAUCUAUUGGUCAUUAUACCACAACUAUCAUUCCAAGUCAGUUUACUGUCAUCACCUGGACAAUCUGGUAACUGGAAGCCACAAUACUGGUUUUUCCCUUGGUUUGACAACAAAGGUUCUAUACAUUAAAUUAAUGGUAGUGUUUGCAUUUCAACGUUUUGUGUCAUGUAUAAAAUUAAAAGUGCUGUUUUAAAUCCACAGAAGUCACUUCCAGGAUGAUGGUAUGACACGACAAUGUGCAUGUAUCUGCCCUAAAUGGAAACACCUGAAACACUUAUUUCCAUAAGAAAAAAAAUGCUAGUUUAUGAAAGACAUAAAACAAGAGAAAUGCAUCAUUUCCAUCCUCAAUACAAAACAUUCAUACUAAUCUGUUUAUCUGAUAGCAUUGAUCAGACCAGGGAGCUAGGACAAAACCCUUUUGCAUCACUGGAACUCCAUGAAGGUUUCCAAUGACCUUAAGGCAGGGACAGUGUGAGCCAAUUAAUCAGAGUGCAAUUACAUUAAAACCUCCUUCAUACUUUCUGUAGCACACUG
rnacentral:lncRNA from 1 species